CACUGCCACGGCAGCUGAGUGACAGCUGGGAGCGAGAUUGGGAUUGGCUGGAGGAAGGCACCGACAGCAUUUGAGCAGGAAGCUGAUUGGAUGACAGGAUGCAUGGACAGCACAUGAGCAGGAAGCUCAUUGGAUGAUAGAACACAUGGAGAGCAGCAUGGCAGCUGAGCCAGCCAAUGGGUGCCUUCUUUCUGUUAAGUUCGGUUAGGUCUCGGUUAGGUUUCAGUUAUGUCAGGUAGAGAUUAAAGGUAUAAAAAGGGUGCGACUUCUACAAUAAAUUGAACUCCUUCAGAUGCUUAAGGCGGUCCAUGUCGCUUGUCCCCCAUUGCUACAACUAACAAACCCAAAUGGGUGAGCAUGUUACUCUGUAAAGUUUUUAGAGACAGUGUUUUCAAAGCCAAACACUAUUUCAGCCUUCAAAAAUGCACAAAAAAGCAUAAAAACCCACAUGAGAAAAUACAAGAAUGAAUGCUUGUCUGCAUCUUGACAAGCUCUUCUCAGUACGGUCACACCCAGCUUGCUUUGUGCAAGGUGUUAGGCAGCCUCAAAACAGAAUGUUUCAUGCCAUUUCUCCCAAAACACAAGGGCUCCUGACUUUCCUUCAUAGGCUCUUUUAGAUUUUAAGAUUCCUCUGAUUUCAAAUUUGAGAAUGAAAACUAUCACUCAUAUCUAGCCUAUAAAAAAUAAAAGGCCCAGUGUUACAAUUUCAUAGGUGCUAUUUUUAAGAUUCAAAGACAGCUCUAUCUUUCUUCACUCUUUUACUUUCUCUGCUCUCAUACGACACCAAUAACAAAAGAAGACAGGAAAACAAAGUGGCAUACAAAAUUCCUAAAAAUCAUCACCAUCAGUGUCCAGGCAAUACUUACAGUGAUUGAUGCAAGAAUCUUAGCAAAGAAAACAGGCUUUUGCAUCCAAGGUAAAGCUUUCAGGCUGCUGAUGUUUCACUGGGUAUUUCCUGAAAAAAAAUGAUAGGGGAUAAAACAAAAUCACAUCCUUGAAUUAGACAAAUGCUAAAGAAAUUUAAGAUAUUUACAUUUUCUGGGAAUGUAACUAUGAGAGAGGCAAACAAGACUAAGAUACCAACCAUUAGUAACUGUAAAAUCCUUGCUAGAGGAGGAACUUUGACUACAUGCAGCACACAACUUCACAAAGACUAAAAUCCAAUCACCGUCACUGUAAAGACCAAAAAAAAUCAGGAAAUUAGGAACGCCUUGCUGAAGCCAGGCUGGAGACAAGGCAAGGGGUUCAUUGCAAUGUUAAAUCCUAUAAGCUGUCCCAACAGGACCAAGGGUGGAGGUCGCAAUGGAUAUACCUUGAAAUUUUUGUAAGCCAUGAUUUGAGUUAUGUGUUACAGGAAUUGCUAUUAGAGGAACCACACAGGACCAGCCCCAAGAAUCACCUGUUGUUUUGAGAUAAACUACACUAACAUAUGCUCAAAGAUAAAAGCCUUGAGAUGAUGACCAAGGUCACCUGACUAUUUCCUGGGCAGUCCCACAAUUUGGGAUUAAACACAAGUAGGCUGGUUAUCAAUCAUUCUUUAUAUGAAGCCCAUGUGCCAGAUGAAGUCCUAUGAGUUUGUCUUUCAUCUGAGGCCCAGCAGCACCCAGUAGUUAGAGUCCUGGCUCACUCAGAGCCCACUAACAUGGUGCCCAGCACCACAGCUUGUCGCUAUGGCCUCAAAUUAGAGACAGGAAUGAGACGGACGAGACACUCAUUCCUUCAAGCAGAAUAGCUGAAUUUUCAUUGCACACAGCUCAUUUUAUAUGGUAUCAGAAGGCACUAUGUUGGUAUCUAAUAGGUCAGAAAAUCAUUGAAAUUCAGUUCAUUGCUUGGUAAUGGCUAGUGUAUAUGUCCAUCAAACUUUUUGCUUUCUAGAUAUGUUUACAUUUUUUCUUCACGGACUCUCAUGGGAUAGACUCCUUAUUUUUGCAGGUGCAAACUGUUCUCUCACAAAAACAGAUUGUUAUGCAAACUGAUUCUCAUUCUUAUGAUUCUUUUCUCAUGAUAACUCAAUGGGCCAGCUUAGCCAGAAUAGCAAGGCCUAAACCAUGUUUUACAAGGCCUUUCUUUUAUAAGGUUUUACCUAUAUGUACCACCAACUAUUUUCUGCUAUGCUCGUUCUGUCAUCCUGCCUCCUCUGUCAGGAUGCAAGCCACAGUUACUACCAAACCCGUUGUGGAAGGGUGGUUAAAAACCUCCUUAAGCCUAUGCUAAAUGUCCUGACCCAAGGAAUCUUGAAAGCUUCUUUAGACCCAGGUAUUCCAAACAGGCAGCACACAGAGCUCCAACACUUGUUUCACCAGCUUUUGCCAACAAGCCCCUAUGCUGAACCUUGUCCCACCACGGCUUGAGCAAGGGCCCUGGUGCCCCUCCCAUCACUUCAUCAGUUGGAAACCCCGCAGCCCUUGGUUUCACAGAUUUAUCAGACGUACAGUUAGCACCCCAGACAGAACCUGAUGAUCCUUCUCAGGUGCCAUGGAGGGUGCAGCUUACUGAGACUUCCCAUUUGGAGGUAGAUGCCACCAUCAAUGGCCUCAUCAUCUGUGUGUCCUCAUGGACAGUCAAAAUUCUGCCUUCAGCUGAUCACAAGGGAGGGGAACACUUUUCUCACCUUCUGCAGUAGUCCACAGGUUACAGAAGCCCCUUCAGCCCUUCCCAAAUUCAGUCAAGUGUGGCUUCCCUAAGAGCCAGCCAGCCUGAGGAUCUGGUUUUGAGAGGUUCUAACCUCCACUGUGGAGUAAUUCCUAUACAAUUCUAGUCAGGUCUGCACAGCAGCAGUUUAUCACUGCAUGUAGCUGCAGAGCUAUGCACCACAAAAAGCAGGCAAGUGACAGCCUCUGCUGAGUUGAACCUUGCCCAGCUGGGUCAGUGACAGAGUUUAUAUUUAUGUACCUCUGUGUUACAUGCCUUGUUUUUCACGGGACUACAGGUACAUGUCAGAUAAGCAAGAUGCAGUAAGUUACCAGAAGGAACGGUAACUCACAGAUUGCUUCAGAUAAGCUCCAGACAGUACGUCCUUUUACAAGUAUUCCACUCCAAUAAUUUGGCCACUCUUACUCAGUGAGGCCAUGCUGCAGAUAUUUCUAACUAGAAAGGCCUACAAAGGCAUUAGCUUUUUUACUUACACAGACAGAACCACUCAUAGACCAGACCUUCCAUGAUGCUCCAGGGAAGGUACAAUCUCCUGGUACUUCUGAAUCAAACUCCCCCUACCUUGAGGACACUGAGAAGCAUCUCCCCUACCUCCAGUGACCCAUGCUGUUAACACUCUGUGAUCCUGCAAGCCCCAAAAUUCAUCAUGUCUCUUUUCAGAGAAGUGAAAAAACAGUGAGUUGCACCCACUUCCCCUUUUAAGAGCCCCAGCCAGUCAGCUCACAAGUCCAGUGGGUCCUGGCACCUGACCAGGGCUACUGGAGCAGGACACUCUGCCUCCGUGGGGUAAAGCAGCUCGAACAAUACCCUGACUGUAAAAGUUGUCAGUGAUGGAUGGAGAAGGGGGAUCAUACUGCACUUGGUGUAGAACAAUGCUGAGACCAGCCUGAUUCAAUAACCCCAAAGUUGAACAUUCUGAGGAUGUGAGGAACAAUGUUUCCUAGCAGAAAUUGGCACGGGUGAGAAUGUAAAAAAAGUUCCUAAUAAAGCAACCAAGAAGUAACAGUAUUGAUAAUUCACCUGACACUGCUGAGCUAAAGGCUGCUGAGCUGAUUCAGUUGGCCCAGAAACAUCUGACUGACAGUGGAUCACUAUAAAAACUCAGUCCCCAAUUUUAACAGCAGAGACUUGCUACGAAUAACUAAAGGCCAGGCACUGGGUGCUCCAACAGUCUAUUUGCAUUCAAAAGAACCAACCAGGUUCACAAGUACUAUGGUUUACUUAAUGCAACAGACAUGGCUCUUUUGGAGUGCUCUUUUGGAGCAGAGUCUGCAUAAACUGCAGAGAAGCUAAAUAUAGCCCUGACAAUACAAUGGCAAUCACAAGCUCAAUUUCUCACUUCAAAAGACUCAGCACAGCCGAGGACACAAGUCUUAUCAAAAGGCGCCCCUUCUGCAGAGGGUGAGGAAAAUGUGUCCCUACAAUUUUCAUGUCAAAUUCUCAUCCCCCAGCUAAACACAAAAUCAGGGUCCUUUUAUACCUUAUUAGCCAUUAUUGUGCAAAGUGCUGUGGGUAGUCAAAUUUUCUGUUCUUAGUGGUUGCGUCUUAUGCAGUAUUUCUUGGUAGCAGGUAUACCUGGUAGCAGUUGUACAAAACAUUUCCUGGUAUUGAGACUGCACUGCUCCUUUCCCACUUUAAAUUCCUACCCGAUGCCAUGGCAACAGAAACCUCCAUCAGGUUUCCAUGUCUGCCCUGAUCACUGAUGUUCUGAUGCGUGGGCUCUGUCUCAUAUUGAGCUUUGCUAUUUUCUUCACUGUUUUAUACUUCCCACACUCUUAACAUACCCCCUUCUAGAAGUGUGUGUGGAGAUUCCUCCUUUGAGUGGGGAUACCUCCAAGGUUAUUUCCCAAGGCUGAAUUAAAGAACUAUGCCUACAGACAUUGGUAGGAGUGAGCAACAUCAAUCUCUACUUGAUUAUUUUGCCAGCUUUGUCUCUGUAAUUAUAGUUAACUAUCUAUACUGUGUAGUAAUUAAUUCUGAUUAAGGUCCUUUAGUCCAACUAGUAUUAUGAUCAAUAUCAUCAGUAUUAGCACCGUAUAAAUAAAUAAUUUUUUCAUAUUGGUUUGCCUUCCUUUAUCCUGUGGGACGAGGUUGUAUAAAGAUUCAAAUACACCUGUAGAAUUAUUUAGACGUUAACCUUUAAGUCUUUGAGCUAGGACUGGAUCCAGCCACACCCAGACUCCUCUCUGAGGAGUUUAGAAAGCAACAGGAUCCUUUCUGCACCCUGUGACUCAACAGGAGGGUAUAUGUGAUAAACCUUGGGUGAAACUUCCAUUCUGCUUGUGACAGCUACCUAGGCAUACAUUUUGCCCCCCCUCUGCCUCAUACUGCAGUGGCAAAAGCUGCCAAAACCAUCAAUGCCAUUUAUCUUUGUCUUAUCUACGCAGUCAGUUUGGACAUUAAAGGUGUCCCACCCACCAGGCCUAUCAAGCUCACUUUGCUUGUACUGGGAAUGGCAUUAAUUAUACCUUUACUAAUUUACCUGCAGGCUAUGGCUAUAGUCCUGCCAUUGAUGCUAAGGUAGCUCAAGCAGUAUUAGCUGAAAUUUCUCCCACUCUUGAUGUCUCUCAUCACCACUGUCUUGCUGACUUUCCUACCACAUAUAGAUGGCAAUCUUACACAAGAAAUUAUUCCAAAUUUCAGCCCUCAAAGAACACCUGGAAGCUUUUAUCUUCCUGGUAAAUGCCAGGGUCCUGCCCAGAAUGUGAAGUGUUGGGGUAAUUUUUAAAGGAAUCUUUUUGCAUGCCAGUACCAUAGGUAUUUCUGAAAUUGUCUUGAAGUCUUUUUUUUUUUUUACCCAAUCUACUCCCUCCUCCAAAUGCAAAUAUCAAAUCUUCUAGGUUCUAAAUCUUUGCCAUGAAAGGCCCAGGUUUUAGACAGCUGGACUAUUCUCUCUAUUCUUUGCUGGGCACAUAUUGCACCUGGGACUGGAGUAUGAGCCACAAACACUUCCAACCCUUCUAAAAAUAUUCAUUGAUAUCAGUAUCUGUUUAUGCAAUGGUAUAUAACAAGCAUUAAUUAUAAUUAUUAAGCUAAGCAACUCAUCAAGUAACUGUACCCUCACCAAUUAUGUGCAGUGCAACACACACUGAUGGACAGAGGCAAGAGAUAAUUGUAUUACCACUCUUAGAGUCAAUAAAGUGGAUUGACUUAGGAAAGUAGUCAUAACUCAACUCCUUGACCAAAUUAUUGACAGUUUGGCUCAGGCUCACAAGGAAGUAAAGGCCUAGGCCAUGACCAGGUCAAGGACUUUUCUAGUUCCAACCUAUUCUUUGAAAACCCACAUAGAACAGGGAGACACAAAGAGCUUUGAUGCGUAAGAGUUGGGAACACCAGCCAAGUGAGUAAGACAUCAAUAGCAGGUAGUUCUUCCAGAACUAAUGAGUAAGGAACAAAUUAAGUUGUGGGUGCAAGGAAUUUCAUGUAAAUUCCAUGGCAUUUCAUUUGACUGCAAGCCAACCACUUUAUUCCACAAAUAUGAAAGCCCAGGUGAGCUUUUUUUUCAUCUCUCCCAGCUGCAGUGUUGUAACCUGUCCUUGAGCUGGGUCACCUCGAAGUUUCUCCUGGAGGAGAAAUUUAGGUCUCAGUGUCCUAUCCACUUCUGACAAAUCCUGAUGGGGUUCAUCCAAUAGUCUUUAAAGAGCUGCUGAUGUCAUCACAAAGUCUCUCUUGAUGGUUUUUGAGUGAUCUUGAGAGUCUGGAGAAGUCCCAGCUGACUGGAAGCUGGUAAAUGUUGCCCCAGUUUUCAAGAAGAGCAAGGAGGACCCUGGAAAGUAGAGGACUGUCAGUGUCACUUCAGUGUCUGGUAAAAUCAUGGAAAACAUUUUUCUGAAAGGUACUGAAAAACACUGAGGACAACAAUCAUCAGUCACAGCCAGCACAGCUUUAUGAAGGGAAAGUCAGCUUGUCACACCUGACUUCCUUCUACAACAGGGUAAACCACCUUGCUGAUCUAGAAAAGCCAGUACAUGAAUUUUUUUGGACUUCAGUAAAAUGUUUAUAGGAUGGUUUUACUCCUGUAGCCCUCAUGUUGCAUCAGGCUGUCCUUCCCAGCCUUCCUUUUUGUUUUUAGCAUUGUCUCCUCCCAACACCAGGACUCUUAAUGUGAUUUUAUUCAGUGUUAUCCCAUACUGAAUAAACAGUAUUUCUCAGUUUGCUAGUGGGGUUUUUUGUUUGGAGACAAAGUGAAUACACUUAAUUCCCACAGUCUUUAAAAGUUGAGGGGCUCAGGUGGAGCUUUCUCUUGCCUUUGGCAUACCUUUUGGUUCCACUGGCAACAGUGGCAACUCGAGAAGCGACAUUUCCCAAUCAAAAACUAUUUCAGAGUGAAUUAUGCAACACCUGCCUGCAGCCAUGCUGUUGAGCCCAGAAAAGCAGAGCAGCCCAGCUCCCUGUGUGUGUGUCAGGACAUCCCUCCCUACCACAGAUGGCUGCUGCACAUGGAAGAGAUAACCCAGGCACAGGCAGAAGCCUGGCAGGAGGUCAUUGCUGGUGCCAGAAGGGCUGAGACCCCCAACUAAGAAUCAACAUCUUGGUCUGGAGAGAAGAUGUGGGAAGAGAUUAAGAAAAGUAAAUGUCAUUGACCAAAAGACACUGCUCUUUACAAUGAUAAAAGCCACACAAAUUAUUACGGAGAUGGAAACCUCUCACACACUCCCUGGAAAUGUGUAGGGUGGCUUCUCCUAUGAAGCUUGGACACACCUUUGUAGGUAUUUUUCCAGAAAUUGAGAGGAAAGAUUUGAUGGAAGAUUCAAUGUAUCUCACCAUCCAAUCCAUCAGCAAUUGGAUGGUAAAAAACAUUGAAUCCUAAUCUAUAUUACUUCUUCGCUAGCUGUAAUAUAGGCACCUCAAUCACACAGUAUUGCCUAUCUACUAGUAGUGUCUCUUUGUUUAUCCUAUGUGGAAAGAAGUCUGGUUUAAGUCUUAUGUCUGCAUUCCUUGGUCUAUUCAAUAAAUCUUUAAUUUUGUAAUAGACCUAAUCAGCCAUUUUUAAGAACUUGUGAAACGAGAGUGAGUUUUGGGGUGUUGGCCACCUCAAUUAAGUUAGUGUCUACUGUCAAGGGCCUGGGCAGAGGCAGGGCCUGGUUUAAACUCCCCUCUCCAUGAUAACAGCGUGGUGACCCCAGCCCACCAGCAGUGCCUGGCUGGGGCCAGGAGGCUCCGAGUCACACCAGCCCAGAGGCUUUGCCUUGCUGUCUUCUGCUGAGGAGAAGGCAAAGUCCUUCCACAAGGUCUAGCCCUUGACCAAGUACCAGCCAUCAGAGAUAAAAGGAGAGGAGGGGGCUGCUGCCAUUUUCCCUUGUCUGCCCCAUGGCAGGCACCAUCUUGGGGAAGCCAUCACUCUGAGGUUUUUAGUUUCUCUUUGUUCUCUGGGAGUCUGGGAGAUUUCAGCAACUUCCUAAAAAACUGGUGCUCUUACUGAUAUGUUUUGCCUAUUGCUAUUUUGGAGAUUUUUUUUAGUAAACUGUUAUUUUUCCACUUAUAUCUCCUCUACAUGUUUUUCCUUAUUGGUGGAAAGGGAUUGGUUAAAACUAAGGGGAAGCAACUCAUUUUAGAGUGUUCCCCUAAAUUGUCUUAAACCAAGGUUUGUCAAGCAGGACCUGCCUUUCAUGAGCUCAUGCUGGCUGGGCCUGAUUCCCUGGUUGUCCUGUAGGUGCCAUGUGAUGUCAUUCAAGAUGAUCUGCUCCAUGACUUGCCUCAGCACAAAAGGCUGUAACUGGUAUUAUAGUGCACUAUUUAUUAAAUUGGUAUUUUCAAAACUAGCUUCAUAAUUGUCAAGAAGAGAUUGGUUUUGGUCACCCACACUCCUGAUCAUGGGCAAAUCUCUUUCACUCAGCCUCAAGGAGUUACCACAAGAAGCAUCCACACUUUAAGGAAGAAUCUCCAUGCACUCUCCUAAAAAGAAUGUGCUAGAAAUCCCUAUCAUAAAAAAGAGAGCUUGGGCUUUUAUAUGAUAACGUGAUUGACUGUCAUGACCUACAUGUUAGCUCAGCAGAACAUAAUUCAUUUAAAAUACAUGGAUUAGUACUACCACUCAUGGGUUCCUUUUAUCAGGAAACAUCUGUCUCCCACAUCCAUGCCACUGCCAGUUCCUAGCAGGAAACACCAGUUUCUAAACAUCCUCAUAUUGUUUAAUUUUGAGAUGUUUCAGUCAGGCUGAUAUCAGCAUUCUUCAACAUCAAAAACAACAUGGCCACCCUCCCUCCAUCACUGCAUGAUUUUUGCAAGUAGGGUGAAGUCCAAGCUGUUUCACCCCCAGUUAAACAAAAAGAACAACCUGGUAUGCUCAAAAAUUUUCAAUUUCAGUAUUUAUGUCAACAAGUUUUAAAAUUCCAUUUCAAUAAGGAUGUUUGAUGCAGGACUACAGCUGCAGAUUUCUACUUAUUAUACUUCAUGGUAACAACAGCAAAAUGCUGAAGUACUAAGGCCUGAACAACAGACCUUGGGACAAAGUUGACCUCUAGGUAAACCUUUCAACCAAAUGUUAUAUGUAUCUGCUCAGUGGCAAAACAUGGUUUUAGUAUUUAGAACCCAGGCAAGGCCAAAUCUAGCUUUGGUUGGGAGUGUAGGAUCAAAGACAACUCCCUUGGUUCAUCCUUGAGCCCUGGCCAGGCUUUGGAAGAAAUCCAGUAGGAGAUAGAAACCAGAUGUUCCCGCACCAGAAGCUAUGGUAGCUUGUUUAUUUAACAGGAUAAAAAUGGGACUCUCUCACAGCUAAGUCGGAAGCCUCAUUUCCUGUGGGUGGAAACACCUGCAGGAUUUCCCAGUCCUUUGCUGUGAUAGUAGCUUUCCCCAGCUGAUGCUUAUCCUAUCUUAUCUUUUUGUAAUUCUUUGCGGUUUCAUAUAUUAAAUUACCCUCAUUCCUUAAGUUGGUGUCUGUGUCUUUUCAGACCCUGCCCAUGGCAAAACAAAUUUAGAAAAACAACAAAAUUAGCAUCAAUCUCUGAAUGUGCCUUAAAUCUUAGUGGGAACUCAGAAAUUCUGCAGUUGAGAAAUUACAAUUUUGUAAUUGCAUUUUAGGACUUUUUCAGGGGAUAGUACAAAAAUCAAGGAAAAGGCAUGCCAUGGUAUCUGGCAAUGGUCCCAAUCCACUGUCCUAAAGCUACUAAUUGCACCCAGCAACACUGUCAUAAGUGUCAUGGGAACUGUGGUCAUAGUCAACGGGUCAAGAAUAAAGAAGUCAUUCUUCUCACCACAAAUGAGCUAAUGCAGAUAAACACCAUUCCACAUAUCAACAACCAGAAGCACUAGAUACAGAAAAAUUGGAAUUUGUCAAAAGCAACACCUCUUCUGCAAGCACUAUGGACACAUCAGGCAUUUGGAGGAACCAUGCUUUACAAGGAAUUUUAACAUCCUAGUUCUCCAUGGUACCAAGCAACACAUCAACACCAGCAGAAGUGAUGCCAUUGUUCAGAAGAAAAUUAAAACUUCGAGACUGUAUUUGAUUGCUUCAUUGUAUCAACCAAGCAUUUAUUGCUUUUGAAUAAUAGCUGUAAGCCUGAGAAAGCAAUUUUCAACAGAAAAGAUUUGUGGGGAAAAGGCAUUAAUAACAAGGACUGGAUUCAUUAGACAAAUUGACAUCACCAAAUAUUCUAUUCAGAAUCCUACAGAUGAAAGCUUUUGUAAUGGCAGCAUCAGACUCCUUUAUACAGGAAUAUCCAUGCCUCUGCAGAAAAGUUCAUGUAUAUAACUAAAACACUGUACUUACAGCUGUAUUAUCUAUAGCUCAUGCUUUUCCAGUUGUGAAUAUUACUAUGAUGGAAGAAGAUCAGCUAAAGAUGAAGCAGAGUCCUAAGCUGUGUUUUCUUGGAUGAAACAUCAUUUUUAGAAAAUACCUACCCCUACACUUCAACUGCAAAUUUCUAUUUACCAUCACACUGGUCUGCCAGUGGACUUGGUCAGCACAGAAGACACAAAACACCAACUUUAAGAAAUAAGGUAAUUUACUAUAGUUUUAAACAGCAAAGAAUUACAAAAAGAUAAGCUAAGCAAUGCACAUAAUCACUACUACAGAAGAUUGCCUAUAGUAAUUAAGAAUGGUACAUCACCUAAUAUUUUAUUAUCAACCAGAUCUGCACUUCAGCUGGGGAGCUCCAGCCACAGCGAAGGACUGGAGAGCCUCUCCUGGUAACUGGGAAAUUCUUCAGGCGCAUCCAGCCGCAGGCGAGCUCUCCGUCUUCGCUGUGACAGGGUCCAGCUUUUGUGCUGGUGAAUAAACAAGCUUCCAUACCUUCUCUGCAGGUACAUCUGGUUUCAUUCUCCUCCUGGGUUCCACCCAAAGCCUGGCCAUGGCUCAAGGGGGAACCAAGGGAUUUGGCUUUGACCGUGACCUCCAAACAAGGCCAGGUAUCCCAUUUCAUGGCCCUGACUGGCCUCUAAACACAGGAAGAAAGACACUGUUAUCACACUACAUGUUUCACUAACAAUCCUGCAUCUUUCAGUAAUAAGUGGAUACAAGUAUUAUACAAUGUUUGGUUGAAAGGUUCAUUGAGAGUCAACUUCAGCUCAGGGCCUAUUGUUCAGGCCUCAGUACUGCACAGAAACAAGUGAAAUGCAGAGAAACCAUGAACAUGUUUCAGCCUCCGAGGAAUUUCCAAAUUCCUUUCAAGUUUCAAUGCACAUUUAAAGCACUGUCUUACCUCCCCAGUAGUCGUAGACAUCUAGAAGUAUUGUUCCCUAAUCAUCCAACACCUAAUGACCACUAAUUGGAGACAAGCUUGCAAACUAUGUACAGGAUACUGACUGAAGUGCAAAUUAAGAAGUUAACUGAAUUUCAGUCACUGAAGUCUUUCACAAGCACAUACCAGAAGAGCUCUUUGGCAUAUCUGCAUUUUAUGGAGACCAUUUAUAUCCAGCAUGAAGGCAUAGCACUACCUUCAAGGUCACAGGAGUAUUUUUAAAAAGACUUUUUAAAAAUCUGAUUGGUGAAGUUUCCUGCCUGCUAUAGGUUAUAAUAUCAAUCCUUCCAUUAAAUUAGCUUCCUUGAAAUUCCUCCAAGUAUAAAUUCAUACAGGAUUUUUGCUCUACAUUUCCACUGCCCUAUGCAGUUUUGAAACUCCUGAGAACUUGAAUUGCUUGUGUUUAUCAAGAAGACAAAUAAUAGUCAGAAACAUGAUAGUAGUGUCUAGCAAAUGUGUGAAAAAAAUAAAAAUCCAUUCCCAUUUCUCAGCAAUGAGAAAUUACUACAGUUCUUUGAAAAACUGCAUGUAGCGGUAUUGAAUAUGGCUUAGAAAUGCUUUGAGUAACAAAGACAGGUUGGUAAGUUUGUAUUUUCCUUAACCCUAUUUUCUUCUCCAUUUCUACCUCUUCAGUUGCACUGAUGCUGCCACUUGUGAUGCUUCAGGAUGAACCAAAGUAGAUAAUAAAAUGGCAUCCACAAUUUCACUUUAAAAAGAAAAAAAAAGAUCACUUCAGCAAUCUUGUGUGUCUCUUCAGACAGGUGUGGAGCUCUCACUGGAGGAACAGGAGCUCCUCACUGGUCUUAGCUCCUAGAAGGGACAACAGUCAACAAGCUUCAAGUGCUGCUUUUACCAAAGGAGCAAUGACCCAUACCAACAAUACCACCAGAGUCUCCUAUGUCCUGAUGACCAGUGAUAUAUCAAAAGAUCCCCUGGCAGAUUUUGUAUUCCAAUUUCCAGUACAGCACCAGUCUCCUUUUAUCAGUGCACUUUAACAGUUUGAAAAUGCAAAGAAUAGCAUUACUUAAUGCUAAAAAACAUAA